UACAGAGGGGGCAAGCGUUAUUCGGAAUUAUUGGGCGUAAAGGGCGCGUAGGCGGCCUUGCAAGUGACGGGUGAAAUCCCUCGGCUUAACCGAGGAACUGCCUGUCAAACUGCGUGGCUUGAGACCAGGAGAGGUGAGUGGAAUUCCCAGUGUAGCGGUGAAAUGCGUAGAUAUUGGGAGGAACACCAGUGGCGAAGGCGGCUUACUGGACUGGUACUGACGCUGAUGCGCGAAAGCGUGGGGAGCGAACAGG
rnacentral:rRNA from 1 species